rnacentral:rRNA from 1 species
AGCGAACGCUGGCGGCAGGCUUAACACAUGCAAGUCGAGCGGGCGUAGCAAUACGUCAGCGGCAGACGGGUGAGUAACGCGUGGGAACAUACCUUUUGGUUCGGAACAACCCAGGGAAACUUGGGCUAAUACCGGAUAAGCCCUUACGGGGAAAGAUUUAUCGCCGAAAGAUUGGCCCGCGUCUGAUUAGCUAGUUGGUGAGGUAACGGCUCACCAAGGCGACGAUCAGUAGCUGGUCUGAGAGGAUGAUCAGCCACAUUGGGACUGAGACACGGCCCAAACUCCUACGGGAGGCAGCAGUGGGGAAUAUUGGACAAUGGGCGCAAGCCUGAUCCAGCCAUGCCGCGUGAGUGAUGAAGGCCCUAGGGUUGUAAAGCUCUUUUGUGCGGGAAGAUAAUGACGGUACCGCAAGAAUAAGCCCCGGCUAACUUCGUGCCAGCAGCCGCGGUAAUACGAAGGGGGCUAGCGUUGCUCGGAAUCACUGGGCGUAAAGGGUGCGUAGGCGGGUCUUUAAGUCAGGGGUGAAAUCCUGGAGCUCAACUCCAGAACUGCCUUUGAUACUGAGG